GCAAUCGUGGCCGAGUGGUUAAGGCGAUGGACUAGAAAUGCAUUGGGGUCUCCACGCACAGGUCGAAUCCUGUCGACUGCG
rfam:Ixodes scapularis strain Wikel colony gcontig_1107729072892, whole genome shotgun sequence.